GGCGGAGCAAAACACAAAACAACAGUCUCAGUUCAGAUUGUAGGCUGAAACUUGCCUAUAUGAAGUCGGAAUUGCUAGUAAUCGCGGAUCAGCAUGCCGCGGUGAAUACGUUCCCGGGCCUUGUACACACCGCCCGUCACACCAUGAGAGUCGAUAACACCCGAAGCCUGUAGUCUAACAGCAAUGAGGACGCAGUCGAAGGUGGGAUUGAUAAUUAGGGUGAAGUCGUAACAAGGUAAC
rnacentral:rRNA from 1 species